UACGUAGGGUGCGAGCGUUGUCUGGAAUUACUGGGCGUAAAGAGCUCGUAGGUGGUUUGUCGCGUUGUUCGUGAAAACUCACAGCUUAACUGUGGGCGUGCGGGCGAUACGGGCAGACUGGAGUACUGCAGGGGAGACUGGAAUUCCUGGUGUAGCGGUGGAAUGCGCAGAUAUCAGGAGGAACACCGGUGGCGAAGGCGGGUCUCUGGGCAUGUCCUGACGCUGAGGAGCGAAAGUGUGGGGAGCGAACAGG
rnacentral:rRNA from 1 species